GACAGGAUGAACAAGACAGCUAAGGAGCAGGACCAUAGUGAAUACUGAGAAUUUUCAUGUCCUUACAGACCUCCUUCCUUGAGUCAUUUUUUUCAAACAACUUUAUCUCACACAAAAGGAUUCUGCAGUACUACAGUUUCCUCAUGCCUUAACAAUUUCCUUAGAAGUCCAAGCAAAAGUUACACAUCUGGGCUCCCUCAGUGUGAGAGCCAUGGGUCCUUAGCACAUACCAGGCUUAAUUUUUAAAAGACUCAGAAUUUCACCUGUGGAACAGAGAAAUGCAUCACCAGAUCUUUAUUGUCACUCUUGACCAAAGACCUUAAUAGGAAUAAGUAUGGGAGAUAAAAGACAAAACACUUAAGCACACUGUAAGCCCACAAUAUACCUUUCUAACCUUGGAUAGUGAUACAUUCUGAGAAAUUUUUACUUCAAAUCAUAUUUUUAAUAUCCAAAAUAUAUCUUCACUUCAGAAUGCUUUCUUUUCAGUUGCACAUUUAAACCUCUGUUUCUUUCAUAUAUUUUGCUGUAGCUACUGAAGAUUAUUUUCUGAAAAGAUUAGCAAAAGUUAUUGUAAUCUCUAUGACUCAGUGCAUGGAACAGAAGAAAGAACAUGCAAAUUUAGGGGCGGGAAAGACCUAAAAGAAAUUACAAUGUAAUUCUUUUCUUCUGUAUUACUUAGCAGUAAUGCACUGUCAGUUCGCAGGCUAGAUCAGUUCCUUCAUUUUUAACAUAUUGAGUAGUUUACUAAAUAGAUUAUGUAUGAAGACAUCUAGAGUACUGAGAUAUUUGUGAUGGUUUAUGAAAACUGCAACCUCUAUCU